rnacentral:misc_RNA from 1 species
AUGAAUACAUCUCCCAAAAUCCUGCAUCAUACCAGCAAUACUAAUAAGAUUUCAUUGUCAUGGUAUUCACAAGUGAAUUAGACAAAAUCCCCUAAUGAAUGUCACUCUUUUUCACGGUGCUACUAGCUAGCAAGCAAUACAAUUAUAUUAACCCGAUCCAGAAUAGUUUGGGUCAUUUGAGAAAAUGUCAUUUUGGUUUCGCUGUGUCCCGA